UGGCGUACCCUGAAGACGUGGUGUUGGGGGUGGGCACUCCUGAGGACUCGUCGGGAGACGGCCUGCUCGAGGAGCUUUUCCCUGAGGGACGACACCAUCGCCAACAAGGCUCGGGCGCACGGAACCGCCAGCAGAACGGCACGCUACCGGUGGGGGUACUGUACCUCUUGCGCCGCAGUUUGGAGGGGGCGGUGAUCUACAUGCAGGCAAGACCUCCCACCUGGAAUUCGACACACUCUCUCGUUGCCACUUCCCGCACCAUGCGACGCUUCGCUGCGAUGCAAUAUGCCGUGUUUUGCGGCGCGAACGGGCUCGUGCUCUCCACCAGUAGGCCAGCAGGCCGUGGGUGCGCUGUACCUUCCACAUGUUCUGCGGUCGCAUCGGAUCGCGGGAGUCUUGGAGGAGGCGUCGGACAGCAUGUCCGCUGUCUUGGCCGCGUGCAAUUGUGCGCCCUCAGCCAGCGUACCGUAGGCGCCACGUCGAAAGCUCCGCGCAGUGGGGCCGGGCUUACCAGUCUCUCGCAGCGCAUGCGCGUGACCGCAGUGAUGCAGCAAGGAUUGUGGCCUGCGCAUGACCUUCCACUGCUUUGCACAUCACCUGCCUGUACGGAUAGCAGAUGGGCCGGCAGCGGCCGCUCGCCUCUGGCCUUUGGCCUACACGAGGCGCCCGCUUCACGGCAGAGCACUCUCGCCCCCUCCCCCCAUAACCCAGAACGCGUGCAGGAGGGCGUAGAACACGCCGGGCGGCCCGUGAUGGCGCUGUCCCCCUGACCACGCGGAGCAGCAAGGGUGCUCGUAUCAGUGGCCCGCACUCGUUGCUGUCAGCCUCGCACCGGUAACACGCCGUCGUGCGCACUCCACUUUUGCGCGAGCGACGACGCACGCAGCGCGUUGUUCUCACAUCCGACGGAGGUCUGCAAUCUGCUGCGUGCGUCGCCGCGGCAGGAGAACGCAACGGCGGCGCUGCCGUAUGGUGUAUGGCGGCCCGUGGCGUCCCGGAACAAGAACUCGUGACUCUCUCGAGACACAAGCAAGCCUCACUGGUCAGUGCCAGCACCGCCCUCUACGCCGAGACAAAUUUGACGUGAACACCUCGUCGGUGAAGAACCUCGGCGUGGAGCCGGCUGAGGUGCUCUGCGAGAUCUAGCGCCCGCAGGGUGCACGGGAUGUGCCGGCUCUGCCCCCGCUUUCCGAAUGGCUCCCUUCCCUCAAGAUCACUACCUCACUGGACUGGAAUGCGGCUGAGGUGAUGCGAGCGAGUCCGCCCGAGGCGCGGGACUUCCUUCAUCGGGCGCAGAGUCACUCCGUCCGUCCCCGGGCAUCGAGGAUAGUGAAAAAGCGCCGCCUCCUCUGCUCUCCCUUUCAAACCCUUCUCCUUUCUCCCCGUGGAUGGCUGCGCGGUAGAUCACAAGAACACGG
rnacentral:misc_RNA from 1 species